rnacentral:tRNA from 2 species
UCCCUGGUGGUCCAGUGGCUAGGAUUCGGCGCUUUCACCGCCGCGGCCCGGGUUCGAUUCCCAGUCAGGGAA